rnacentral:ncRNA from 1 species
CAAUGAGCGACGACAAGAACAUUAUUAAGCCGGUCUCCCUGUGAACAGAGAAUCAGUGGUUGGUGCGAACUGAUACAAAGAUUAGGUGAAUUUCAUUCUUGGAGCUUUUUUUAUACUGUAUCUUAAUUGAAAUGAGUAUAGAAACGGAUUAAACCGUUAUUUUAACCAAGUGGGAGACACGUAUUGUUUCCAAUUAGGGUGGUACCGCGUGAAUAGCCACGUCCCUAUC